GCGAGAAGAGAAUUCUAAGGCGCGCGGAAGAACUCUCGUUAAGGAACUCGGCAAAAUGACCCCGUAACUUCGGGAGAAGGGGUGCCCCGGUAGUGUGAAUAGCACGAGGGGGCCGCAGUGAAAAGGCCCAAGCGACUGUUUAGCAAAAACACAGGUCUGUGCGAAGCCGUAAGGCGAAGUAUACGGGCUGACGCCUGCCCGGUGCUGGAAGGUUAAGGGGAGCGGUUAGGAGCAAUCCGAAGCUGUGAACCGAAGCCCCAGUAAACGGCGGCCGUAACUAUAACGGUCCUAAGGUAGCGAAAUUCCUUGUCAGGUAAAUUCUGACCCGCACGAAUGGCGUAACGACUUGGGCGCUGUCUCAACGAGAGAUCCGGUGAAAUUUUAAUACCUGUGAAGAUGCAGGUUACCCGCGACAAGACGGAAAGACCCCAUGGAGCUUUACUGCAGCU
rnacentral:rRNA from 1 species